rnacentral:piRNA from 1 species
UUAAAAGUGACCUCCGUCCUACCACAUGUU